rnacentral:miRNA from 1 species
AAACGCAGAUUCUCAGGCCCACCCAAGACAGACUGAUUCCCUGGGUCCAGGGUGGAAGCCAGGAAUCUGCAUUUUUAGCACACCUUCCCCAAGAAAUUCUGAUGCAGGGGG